rnacentral:rRNA from 1 species
GUGUUCCUACGGGACGCAGCAGUGAGGAAUAUUGGUCAAUGGGCGCGAGCCUGAACCAGCCAAGUCGCGUGAGGGAAGACGGUCCUAUGGAUUGUAAACCUCUUUUGUCGGGGAGCAAAAGACGCCACGUGUGGCGUUCCGAGAGUACCCGAAGAAAAAGCAUCGGCUAACUCCGUGCCAGCAGCCGCGGUAAUACGUAGGUGGCGAGCGUUGUCCGGAAUUACUGGGUGUAAAGGGAGCGUAGGCGGGAGAGCAAGUCGACUGUGAAAUCUAUGGGCUUAACCCAUAGCUGCGAUCGAAACUGU